CGGUUGAUCCUGCCGGAGGACAUUGCUAUUGGGAUUCGAUUUAGCCAUGCUAGUCGAGCGAGUUCAGACUCGCGGCGAAUAGCUCAGUAACACGUGGCCAAGCUCCCCUUCAGUCAGCGAUACCCUCGGGAAACUGAGGUUAACAGCUGAUACAAAACGCCAGCUGGAAUGCGGCGUUUCAGAAAGACAUCGCUGAAGGAUGCGGCUGCGGCCGAUUAGGUAGACGGUGGGGUAACGGCCCACCGUGCCAGUAAUCGGUACGGGUGAUGAGAGUCAGAGCCCGGAGACGGAAUCUGAGACAAGAUUCCGGGCCCUACGGGGCGCAGCAGGCGCGAAACCUUUACACUGCACGGAAGUGCGAUAGGGGAAUCCCAAGUGCGAGGGCAUAUUAGCCCUCGCUUUUCUCGACUGUAAGGUGGUCGACGAAUAAGAGCUGGGCAAGACCGGUGCCAGCCGCCGCGGUAAUACCGGCAGCUCAAGUGAUGUCCCAUAUUAUUGGACCUAAAGCGUCCGUAGCUGGCCGACCAAGUCUACCGGGAAAUCCACCCGCCCAACGGGUGGGCGUCCGGUAGAAACUGGCCGGCUUGGAACCGGAAGGCUCAGAGAGUACGUCCGGGGUAGGAGUGAAAUCCCGUAAUCCCGGACGGACUACCGAUGGCGAAAGCACUCUGAGAAGACGGCUUCGACAGUGAGGGACGAAAGCUCGGGUCUCAAACCGGAUUAGAUACCCCGGUAGUC
rnacentral:rRNA from 1 species